rnacentral:rRNA from 1 species
CAGUUUUGGCGGAGCCAUCCUUGGGAUACCACCCUUGUAGUACUGGGACUCUAACCAUAGGCCAUGAAUCUGGUCUUGGGACACUGUCAGGUGGGCAGUUUGACUGGGGCGGUCGCCUCCCAAAAGGUAACGGAGGCGCUCAAAGGUUCUCUCAGUACGGUCGGAAAUCGUACGUAGAGUGUAAAGGCAAAAGAGAGCUUGAUUGCAAGACAUACAGGUCGAGCAAGGAUGAAAAUCGGACUUAGUGAUCCGGUGGUUCUGCGUGGAAGGGCCAUCGCUCAACGGAUAAAAGCUACCCUGGGGAUAACAGGCUUAUCUCCCCCAAGAGUCCACAUCGACGGGGAGGUUUGGCACCUCGAUGUCGGCUCAUCACAUCCUGGGGCUGUAGUAGGUCCCAAGGGUUGGGCUGUUCGCCCAUUAAAGUGGUACGCGAGCUGGGUUCAGAACGUCGUGGGACAGUUCGGUCCCUAUCCGUCGCAGGCGUAGGAAAUUUGAGAAGACCUGUCCUUAGUACGAGAGGACCGGGAUGGACGUACCUCUGGUGUACCAGUUGUUCUGCCAAGGGCAUGGCUGGGUAGCU